rnacentral:tRNA from 1 species
UUAUUCAAAAGCGAGAUCAAACUCAAAGUUGAAAUCUUGAGCUUUCAAUCUGUACUGGUCCAGAACACCGGGCCCGCAUGCUUCGCUACCAACACCAUGGAUUGCAUGGUCCAACCUUAGAUAGUGUCUGCCGUAUCUUUUAACGUCACAAGCGUGGGCAGCUUCAUCAACCCCGUAUUCGUCUGAAAUCUUGAAGUUAAAUGGCUUCUCCUUUUGGAAGAUCGAUAGUUUUCCUGCACCUUCAAAUUUGAUGUUCAAAAAGUGGGUAUCUGUAUGAUUUCCAUUUUCUUGAGGAUAGUCAUAUACGAAUUCCUCUACCUUCUUAGAAUCGUAAAGACCGAAUCUUUGUGAUUCCUUCUUGUCCGGAUAUGAUUCGCCGGGCCCACGACCAAACCAUUCAAAUGAUUCAUAACUAUCUCCUAGCCAGAAUUCGUACCCAACUCUUGGGAAAUCAGGAGGCUGAUAUUCGCCAGUAAGCUUCAUAGACGUGUUCAAGUUUAUUUUGUUAGCAAAGAUCGUGUAUUUCUGAACAGUCUCAAAUCCAUAGUAAAAUACAACUGGGGAUAUACGCGAAUUAACAGUGACUACAGCUAGAGAACCAUUAGAACCUUUUUCAACACUCACUUCAUGGACGUUUUGUUUCAUUAAAUCAAUAUUGUACUUCUUCCAGUUCUUAAAGUCCCUAGGUUCGUCAUUAUUUGUUGGAGGUCUCCAGAAAGUGAUUGAAGAACCCUCAAACUUGCUGGAUAUUUCCUUACCCUUGACCUUUAGGCUUUCAAUUUUACCCAACAAUUUGUCCAAGACAAAUUGCAAUCCACUGGAUUCAACUGAGACAUAACGUUUACCGUCGUUGAUCUUGGUAGGUUUUUCUGCUGUCUCUGUAACAAAAUCUGGUACCUUUAAUGGAAGUUCGGCUUGGCCCCAGGCAAUUUCAUGACCUGCCUUUAGAACACCAGCAUCAUCCUUUAACACGGCAACAACAUAAGUGGUAUCAGAAGGAAUAGUAACAGAUUCUUCUGGCUUUAAAGCUGGAACGUCGAUUGUCUUUCCCGUGUCCUUGUCGAUAAACAAUAAGUGAUCUGUCGUAAUGAAGUCGUGCUUAUUUGUGAUUGUUACAGAUCCGUGCGCAAUUUUAAUAUGAACGGGUUCAAUAACCUUCUUAUACUCUACAAGGCCCGGAGUAGGAUUAUGCUCACUGUUACACAAACCAUCCAUGAUGAACACUCCGUCAUGAACCUCUUCCUUAAAGUCACCACCAUAAGCAUAAGCUUUAUGCAACUUACCAUCUGCAGUACUAACAUCUUCGAAUUCAAUACCGUGAUUUGCCCAUUCCCAGAUAAAGCCACCUUGGUAAAACUUCUCCUUGUAGAACAACUCUUGAUAUUCUUUCAAAGAACCCGGGCCGUUACCCAUUGCAUGACCGUACUCACACAAGAUCAAAGGCUUUUCAAACUUACCAUUUUCAUCAGUGUGGUUCUUCCUCCACCUUUCCAUAAUUUCAAAUGUUGGGUACAUGAAACUAAAGAUAUCUGCACUCAAAGCGUUCAAGUCACCCUCAUAAUGCACCAGUCUGGUAGGAUCCAAUUGCUUAAUUAGCUUGUACAUGGCUUUGUGGUUUCUGCCAUAACAAGCUUCGUUACCCAAGGACCAGAUAAUAAUCGAAGGAUGAUUGACAUCUCUUAGGACAAGUUGGGAAGCUCUGUCUAAGUACGCGACCUCGUACUCUGGAUUAUCUGAUAAGUAAUGGGCAUUAACAUCGUAGAGUUUAUUUUUGGUAUCUGGAUAUUCAGCCUCCAAGUUCGUAUGACGAUUAAAUGGCUCUUGAACACCGUGAGUUUCAAGAUCUGCCUCAUCAAUGACCCAGAAGCCUAGUUUAUCGAAGAGGUCAUACACCUUAGGAUGGUUUGGAUAAUGCGAGUUACGAACAGCAUUGAUGUUAAACUUCUUCAUUAGAAUCAAGUCUCUAACAACAAAAUCUAAUGGCACAGCUCUACCGAACCUUGGAUGGUGAUCAUGCCUGUUGACACCUCUAAAGAGAAUGUCUUUGCCAUUAACAGUAAUGUUACCGUCCUUCAACUCCACUUGUCUGAAACCAACAUGGUGCUUAAUAGAUUGAAUCACACUGCCAUCAGAUCCAAUUAAAUCCAACUGGUACUUGUACAAAGUAGGAUUUUCUGCGGUCCAAUGUUCUGGGGCCUUGACGUUGAUCUUGAAAGCUGUUUCUUCGUCCUUUUUGGUCGAAAAGGAAAUAAAUUCUUUAGUUGAAAACGUCGUGUUCCCAUUCUCCUCGUUCAACAAAGAGCUUGCAUCGUAAACUUUAGAUCCAUCUUCAGGUUCGUAAAGUGUGAAAUUGAUGUGAUCAUAAGAAGAACCCUGGACAUCAACUUUCACAGAAAGCUCUGCAUCCUGAUACUGAGAGUCCACAAAAGUUGUAGUGACCCUAACGUCUUCAAUAUGGGCCUUCUUAGGCAAUUUUAGUAAAGAAACGUCUCUGUAAAUACCAGAGAGCCACCAUUGAUCUUGGUCCUCGAUAUAAGUGGAAUCGGACCACUUGAAAACCUUCACAACCACUAAGUUUUCGCCCUCAGAAACGUACUUUUGGAUAUCAAAUUCAGCCCCGUUACGGGACCCCUUAUUGAAACCAACAUAUUGACCAUUAACAUAAAGCUCGUAACAAUUGUCCACACCCUCAAAUCUCAAUCUGUGCUCGAACGACUCAAUCGAUUUCGAAUCUAAUUCAAAAGUUCUAGCAUAAACACCAGUAGGGUUUACAGUGGGAGGAUUUGGGAUGUCGAUUGGGAUAGGGUACUGUACGUUCGUGUAAAUUGGUUUACCGUACUUCCAGUCUUCCUGAAGUUCCCAAUGAGAUGGCACAGAAAUGGUGCUCCAUUUCUUUGCCGUUUCCCAGUCUAAAUUCUUAGCAUCCGGAGCGUCAAGAGGUGCAUCAAACAACGCAAAAGCCCAAGGCCCAUUGAGAGAUUCGAAAAUAUCCUGAUCAUAGUAGUAAGCCCUAGUAGGCAAUCUAUUUUCGUGAACCUUUUUAGGGUUCCUUAAAUUCUCAGGAAUAAGGCAAGACAU